AUUUAUAAAGUUUAUAAAACAUUUCAUUUUCAUUGAAAAGAUAGGUAAUAACCUUGUAAAUA
rnacentral:tRNA from 1 species